rnacentral:rRNA from 1 species
GGGCAUGGCGGCGUGCCUAAUACAUGCAAGUCGAGCGAGCUUGCCUAGAUGAAUUUGGUGCUUGCACCAAAUGAAACUAGAUACAAGCGAGCGGCGGACGGGUGAGUAACACGUGGGUAACCUGCCCAAGAGACUGGGAUAACACCUGGAAACAGAUGCUAAUACCGGAUAACAACACUAGACGCAUGUCUAGAGUUUAAAAGAUGGUUCUGCUAUCACUCUUGGAUGGACCUGCGGUGCAUUAGCUAGUUGGUAAGGUAACGGCUUACCAAGGCAAUGAUGCAUAGCCGAGUUGAGAGACUGAUCGGCCACAUUGGGACUGAGACACGGCCCAAACUCCUACGGGAGGCAGCAGUAGGGAAUCUUCCACAAUGGACGCAAGUCUGAUGGAGCAACGCCGCGUGAGUGAAGAAGGGUUUCGGCUCGUAAAGCUCUGUUGGUAGUGAAGAAAGAUAGAGGUAGUAACUGGCCUUUAUUUGACGGUAAUUACUUAGAAAGUCACGGCUAACUACGUGCCAGCAGCCGCGGUAAUACGUAGGUGGCAAGCGUUGUCCGGAUUUAUUGGGCGUAAAGCGAGUGCAGGCGGUUCAAUAAGUCUGAUGUGAAAGCCUUCGGCUCAACCGGAGAAUUGCAUCAGAAACUGUUGAACUUGAGUGCAGAAGAGGAGAGUGGAACUCCAUGUGUAGCGGUGGAAUGCGUAGAUAUAUGGAAGAACACCAGUGGCGAAGGCGGCUCUCUGGUCUGCAACUGACGCUGAGGCUCGAAAGCAUGGGUAGCGAACAGGAUUAGAUACCCUGGUAGUCCAUGCCGUAAACGAUGAGUGCUAAGUGUUGGGAGGUUUCCGCCUCUCAGUGCUGCAGCUAACGCAUUAAGCACUCCG